GUGCUCGCUUCAGCAGCACAUAUACUAAAAUUGGAAUGAUACAGAGAAGAUUAAAAUGGCCCCUGCAUAAGAAUGACAUGCACAUUCAUGAAGUGUUUCAUAUUUUU
rnacentral:snRNA from 1 species